AUAUAUAAUCUCAUGGAUUUGUUCUAUAAAUAUUUUUAUUUUUUAUUUAAUGAAUGGCUGUGUUAAAACAUAUUUGUUUAUGUGCCAAAUGUUAGUUGUUGACAAGUGACCAGGUUGCUGUUAAUAACUUGUAUCAUGUAUGAUUAUGUUCAUUGUAAAUAGAAUAGGGUAAUACUGUGGAUUCAAUAAUUAUCGUUGGAUACCAAUUUUCGUGGAUUUUGUGGAUACAUGUUAAACAUUAAAAAAAUCGUGAUAUAAAGUCUGCAAAUGUUUUAAAAUUGAGCUGUUAUAACAACCUUACAAAACAGACUAAAAUUCAUCUUAUAUUUUGUAUUUAAAAGAGGGAGGAAAGAUACCAAAG
rnacentral:lncRNA from 1 species